rnacentral:rRNA from 1 species
AAGCGCUUGUGACCAGACUUGUACCUGGUGAAUCAUCCAGCCUUUUGGCUGGUGCACUUUGCCUUGUUCAGGCCAGCAUCAGUUUUCCUAGGGAGAUAAAGACUUUGGGAAUGUAGCUCCUCGGAGUGUUAUAGCCCAUUGUAUAAUAUCCUUGGGGGGACUGAGGUUCGCGCUCUGCAUGGAUGCUGGCGUAAUGGUCAUCAGCG